GAGUCUAUCAGUUUUAUUGGAGCUGCAGGGACAGACAGAGCGAAGCACACAUUCACACUGUCAAAACCAUGCAAAGAGAGAACGAAUCCAGCCUCUCUGACUCAGAGUAAGUACUUAUUAAAUUGAUCUGUUCAGUGUCAAUUUGAAUUCAGCGGUCCAGUAUUUAUUGGCUGGUUUAAUGGACAUCUUUAAACAUGAAAUAAAGAAACAGACCUGCUGCUGUCUUCGUCUGUCUCUGUGCAGGAAGCUGAGCGUCAGGCCUGACAGAGAGAUCCACACAAUGUUCCGCUCCACCGAGAUUUACUCUCCAACACGUCCUCCGAUCCUCAGCUGACCUCACCUGCUCUGUUUGCUGUCGGCUCCUCUGUGAUCGAGGCGUCAGGAAAAAGAGGAAGUGUGCGGCUGUGCAUGCAAGUGCAGAAAAGACACAAUGGUAAAUUCUGUUUUACACACACAAAUCUGAUGCAUAAUUUAAUACGGCAUUCAACCUUUUACUGUUGAACACAAAGUAGAAGAGCACAGGUGCGAUGAAUAAGGUUAAUUAGCUGCUUUUGAUCCAGACUCCAGGUGUUGUGGAUUCUGAGUCACUAACAGCAGAAGUGUUGUUUGUGUAAUUAUGACCACCUGUGUUGUUCUCACAAUGAAAGUUACUGUACUUAUUGUUUGAUUAGGUUUUUAGCUGCUGACCUUCAUGUGGAGUGACUGUAAGCAACAUCAUUUUCACUGAUGGUGUGAGGAUCAGUGCUACAGGUCUUUAACGGUCAUUUCACAGCUCACAUCCUUCCAACACCUGCUCACUACAGAACAAUGUAGUGCAUUUCUUACCUCACACCUCCAACAUUAUUAAGCAGCUCAGCUGUUUAUUGUUUUUUUUUGGAUCAAAGGCAUUUGCAUAAGUUAAAGAAUUUUGCAGUUAAUGAUGAAAACAAGUCUAUUUAGCAUAAAGCCAGUUUUAUAUGAAAAUGUUUUUCUCUGUCACAGGAUGCAGUUUUCCCCUCAAUCACCUUUCCUGUGCUAAAGACGCAUGAAUGACCGAUAUCAUCUCUCAGGACAGCGCUCUAUUCAACACCUCAAUCGCCCGACACACAACAUUAAACAGCAUGUACAUCAUAUAUGCAGCUGUAACUUUUGUGCAGUUAGUUACUGCUAUUACCCUUCCUGGAAACUGACAACAUACUGAGCGCCAAAGACCCCAAGUCCUUCUGAAAGAGUGUUAUAGACCAGCUGUUCUUCUUACAGAGGAACCCAGGAGACAGAAAGACACUAUGGGUUCUGGAUUAUAUCAUACAAGACUGAAUAUUAAUGUUAAUUUUGACUCUGUUUAUAUAAUUAUUCCAUCUCAAGGAUGCUCUGGUCAUUAUAAUAGUUUUUGGGAUAUGGUCUCAUCUGCAAACAUAUCAAACAAAGAGCUGUGCAAAUAAAUUACCUAACACCAACCCCAGAUGCCAUUGGCCUGAUUUGCAUCAUUUACCCAGGACUUCAAAGGAUAUUUCGGCAUAAAUUUAAGUUAUGGUCAAACACACCGUAACACCGAGUUAGACCCCCCCUCAAGAGAUGAAUGUUGCCGACUGCUUGCUUCUGUAGUUAAACCAACUUCAGGAAAGACCACACAAUAGCAAUAGACAGCAGUCGACGUCUCUGAGACGUUAAGGCAGAAGAACUACCAAGUUGGAAGUGCAAGUACAAGACACACAAGAACUUUGAUUGCAUUUCCAUGAAGUGAUGAUCAUAAAUGUUCUUCCUUGAGCUGCGGAACUCCGCUGCACUCGAUGAUCAACUUGUCAGGGCUCCCCCAUAAACAAGUGGAGGAGAGUGGGUGAAUUGUGUUUGGUAUCUUUGUUGAAGAAACCAGACAAAGCCUAAAAGAUGUUUGGUGGCUAGUACUACGUUCUAGGACCCUGUCUAACUCUGUGUUACAGUGUGUUUGACCAAAACUUAAAUUUACGCCGAAAUCUCCCUUUCAGGCCCCUGUGGAAAUGCAGACAACAACAGGACCACGAGAACCACCUAGAUCCUUAAAGAGAAGUCCCUGGAACUGCAAGUUCUGGGUGGUUCUGGUCAAAAAGCACUUUUUGUAGGAUUUGAGUGCAAUGACAGUAGUCUGAGAGCUAAAAGGAUGCUAAAGUAGAAAAGCGACCAACACCUUUACAGCAUCACAUCCAGGACUGGACAGGUUAGGUUGAGGUGAGUUAACCAGCAGGUAGAAAGAUCUCAUUAUCUAUUUAAGGAAGAUUCUCCUUAGGGUUAUGGAAGAGGAAAUAUACACCGAGGGUCUUUUCUUUGCCUGUCAAAAAAUCUUCAAAAUAUGCCAACAUUUGGAAACAAUCAGUCUGCACACUGAUCUGCAAAAACGACUGAAAAUGCUGGAAUGUGCACUGCCAGGCCAUCAGAUGGCAGUAAAACUUUUUAAUGAAAAACUACUGACCUCCAUGAACCUGCGCAUGGAGGCCUUAUUUGACAGAGUAAUCACAACCAAGUAUUUGACUGGAUUUGGUGAAAGCGUAUACAAAAAAGGGUCUGAGUUCACUGUUUUUUACAGAAUCUGCACAUGCCAGUUUCCACAGAAACUUCUCCUCAUAAACCCUGAUCAAAACACAGUGAAGAUUUAAAGUUCAAACAUGUUUUUGUGCAAACCCACCAGAUAACUUUAAACUCAGCUUAAAUCCGCCAUUAUUGAAAUAUCACCAUGGCAACAUCACUAAGGGGAUGUUACCGUACACAGAGUAUGACCUCAUGUACCAUCUUUCUAUCACUUCUCCUCUUUCUUUCUUUGUCUCUCUGUUGCUUCUUUUAUCAUUGUUGGAAACUCCGGGGGGGCGGACUCGUUGGUGGGCUGUCAUUAGUUUUCCCACUUUAUCACGAGCCACUGCCAGCUCAUCUGGAAGGCGUAGGGCGAUGAAGUUUUAGCCUCUAGCUUUUCAUCAGGAGACAUUAGAGGCUUUAUUACACUUCUGUUAAAGUUUUCCUCCCUCUGACCUUCAACUUUGAAGACCAAAAACUUUUCAGUGUGAUGUGGAAUUCUCAUUAGCUGUUACCAGUUAUUGCAUCAUAUUAAACCUGCUGUAAAUCAAUGGGCUCUCUUUCUUUUGUUCAGCAGAUUAGUCGUUUGAGGAUAAGGUGUGUGUUGAAUACAGUUGAUAAUUUGACCUCAUAUUAGCCUGAACUAGCAGGGAUUUUGUCUUGUUUACACCUUAUUGUAAAGGUAAAUGUGCCACUUUAGAUAAUUUUGAUAAGUCAAGUCCUUAUUGAGAGUAGUUUAUAUCCUCAAAAGUAGGUCUAUGUCUUUCUUUUCUGCUCUUUAGUUUCUCUUCAUUGUAUCAAAGUUGACUUUAAAGUGACUCAGUCUAUUUCUGCAUAACUGCGAUAAAAGUGUCAUAACAGCGGUACACAGUGGAGGAGGUUUCAUGGACUCUAAUAUUUGGACUGUGAAUGCCUCAUUAGGCUAAUGUCUCUCUGUGUGUCUGAUGUCUCUGUGUUUGCUCGUGUCUUCUGCCUUAAAGACAAAAAGGGACAUUUGGAGUCUGAACCAUGAAAUGAAUAUUGCUCCAUUCUCUCUGCACAUUUGCUGAGAAGCCGGAGUUCGUAUCACAUAAAAUACCUGAUAGAAGUUUGAUAAGUCAGUGUCAUUUUCUCCAUCUUAAGGUCUUACAGCAAUGUCUGUCUGGAAAAAUACCAGCCAAUGAGGCAGGAUACGGCAAAAAUAAGAAGCAAAGGAAUGACCAGAGUUCAUUCUUCACUGUUCUGAUGAGCUUGUUAGCUUUUUGAAUCCUGCAGAGCUAAGCGGGUAACCUCAUGAACCCCUUAUGCAUUGAAGUGUUGGCUUGAUUGGAGCCUGUAGUAAUGGGGCGUUACGUUAUCAGGUCGAUCACCCUGGUUUGGAGUGUUUAGUGAUGGUUGGAGCUGAAUGUAUUGAGCAGAAAGAACCCCGAGCUCUCUGGUUGGUUUAGAUAGUCCAGUACUAGUCUCUGAUCUGCUCUCUCUCCUCUCUUUCAGAGUCUCUGAUUAGACGGUGAGCAUCAGAGGUAAUUUGUUCAGCCUCACAGGUUCAUGUAAUAACAUGUGAGCUCGGUCAGAGGCUGUGACUCUUCUGGGUUAUCUGGAUGUAAAUCGGCUCUAGCUGCUUGAGUUUCUGGUACAGUUCAGUCUGAAAACAUGCUGAUGCUCAUUUUUAAGACUCCACUGCUCUGUUGGCUGGGAAUGAAGAAGAUCAGUCUUAUGUUGGACAGAGAAACAGAUCCACAAAGAGAAAAUGGCCUUUUAGUGAGGUAUACAUCAUUUAUGGAGAGAAAGUCUGCCUGAGUGUUUGCUGUUGAAUAAAGACACUGAGGAGAAGGAGAGUUGAUAAAUUUGUUUUUAACUGUACCUCACUUUCACUAGUUCCUCAUGACUGAUGCUGUUUUCCUCCACUUCUUCAUAGUGAUCCUCAUGGAGUGAAACACUCAGAUAUAUGCAUCAUCUUACUUUGAAAUCAUUAUGUCAUGAUUGCAUGCUAAACAAGUCAAACUGCUCAAAGUCUCCAGUCUUGGUAGCUCAGCUUUAGAUGUUGCUGCUGCACAGAACUUCUCUGAUUGGUCCAUGUCUGAUUUGUUUUGAAUCCUUGACAUAAAGCUGAACAUUAGAGAGGAUUUUUAAGCUGCAGACUCAGAGUUCACACAUCUGUCUGUAUGAAGUGAAGAGCCUCUUGAAAACACAUUGAGUGUUGGAUACUUCAGCCCACAGAGAGCAGAGCUCAUUUCAAAGACACCUCCAGAGAUUUCCUUGGAUGGCUGCAUAUACAGACGUUUUUAACUGGAGUAAAUCUGCCUUUUCUUUCACACUGCAGCUAUUCUCCUCUUUUUAUCAGUAGAUCAGAGGGAUGUGACACUGCCCACCUGUUGGUGCUGUUUUAGAAAUGAGCAACUCUGUUUUGCCACCAUUGUUGUUUCUUCUUCCCAAAAAAACAAUAAAAACUGCUCAAGGAGAGAAUGAGAUUUUCUGCAAAUUUUACCUGUAAAAGUUGCAGCUGUGAAGCACAGCUGCAUGUAUUUCACUGUCAGAGUCCAUGCUGUGUUUGUCAGCUGUCUCACCUGUUGGUAAAUGGACUGAUUUUCAGCCUCUUUGCUCUCUGUCUGUUCCUCUGUUAUCCUGGAAAGAUCCAAAUCCUUACAGCUCUAUCUGACAAUCCACCUGCUGCUGACUGGAGGGAAAGGACAGGAAGUGAUGCUGGAUUAUACCUGCAUUAAAGUCUGUUUUCUUCUUCUUCUUCUAGACCAUGAUCUGAAUUAUAAACUGACGAUGGAUGCAAAGACUCAAGUUUCAGUGAGAGCACCAACAGGAUCUCCGGAGAAGGA